rnacentral:misc_RNA from 1 species
GUAUUUAGAAUUAUUUAUUCAAAAUAUCUUCAGACAAAAAAGUUUCAAUAAAGGGUUGGUAUUAUGCUGCCAAGAACGCGUAAAAAACGCGAACUCGUCAGCAAACAUUGCACACAAGGUGAAUACUGAUUUUUAAAAAGUGCAGUAAAACACUUAUUAUGAAUGAUCCUUCCGCAGGUUCACCUACGGAAA